rnacentral:rRNA from 1 species
GAACGAACGCUGGCGGCGUGGAUAAGACACGCAAGUCGAACGCUGAUUUCAGGGUAGCAAUAUUUUGAAAUUGGAGUGGCGCAAGGGUGUGUAACACGUGGGCAAUCUACCGUGAAGUCUGGGAUAACUCGCUGAAAGGCGAGCUAAUACCGGAUGUGAAUGUAAAUUCAAAGUUGGGGACCGCAAGGCCUGACGCUUUACGAUGAGCCCGCGGCCUAUCAGCUAGUUGGUGAGGUAACGGCUCACCAAGGCUAAGACGGGUAGCUGGUCUGAGAGGACGACCAGCCACACUGGAACUGAGACACGGUCCAGACACCUACGGGUGGCAGCAGUCGAGAAUUUUUCUCAAUGGGCGAAAGCCUGAAGGAGCGACGCCGCGUGGGGGAUGAAUGGCUUCGGCCCGUAAACCCCUGUCAUUUGCGAACAAAUUAUUUUACCUAACACGUAAAGUAUUGAUUGUAGCGGAAGAGGAAGGGACGGCUAACUCUGUGCCAGCAGCCGCGGUAAUACAGAGGUCCCAAGCGUUGUUCGGAUUCACUGGGCGUAAAGGGUGCGUAGGCGGUAGGGUAAGUCUGUUGUGAAAUCUCCGAGCUUAACUCGGAAACUGCAAUGGAAACUAUCCGACUAGAGGAAUGGAGGGGAGACUGGAAUACUUGGUGUAGCAGUGAAAUGCGUAGAUAUCAAGUGGAACACCAGUGGCGAAGGCGAGUCUCUGGACAUUUCCUGACGCUGAGGCACGAAAGCCAGGGGAGCAAACGGGAUUAGAUACCCCGGUAGUCCUGGCCCUAAACGGUGCGCGUUUGCUGUGAGUGGAAUCGACCCCGCUCGUGGCGAAGUUAACACGUUAAACGCGCCGCCUGGGAAAUACGGCCGCAAGGUUAA